GAUGAACGCUGGCGGUUGUGCUUAACACAUGCAAGUCGAGCGAAGCACUUUUGCGGAUUUCUUCGGAUUGAAGCAACUGUGACUGAGCGGCGGACGGGUGAGUAACGCGUGGGUAACCUGCCUCAUACAGGGGGAUAACAGUUGGAAACGGCUGCUAAUACCGCAUAAGCGCACAGUACCGCAUGGUACCGUGUGAAAAACUCCGGUGGUAUGAGAUGGACCCGCGUCUGAUUAGCUAGUUGGUGGGGUAACGGCCUACCAAGGCGACGAUCAGUAGCCGACCUGAGAGGGUGACCGGCCACAUUGGGACUGAGACACGGCCCAAACUCCUACGGGAGGCAGCAGUGGGGAAUAUUGCACAAUGGGGGAAACCCUGAUGCAGCGACGCCGCGUGAGCGAUGAAGUAUUUCGGUAUGUAAAGCUCUAUCAGCAGGGAAGAAAAUGACGGUACCUGACUAAGAAGCCCCGGCUAACUACGUGCCAGCAGCCGCGGUAAUACGUAGGGGGCAAGCGUUAUCCGGAUUUACUGGGUGUAAAGGGAGCGUAGACGGCAUGGCAAGCCAGAUGUGAAAGCCCGGGGCUCAACCCCGGGACUGCAUUUGGAACUGUCAGGCUAGAGUGUCGGAGAGGAAAGCGGAAUUCCUAGUGUAGCGGUGAAAUGCGUAGAUAUUAGGAGGAACACCAGUGGCGAAGGCGGCUUUCUGGACGAUGACUGACGUUGAGGCUCGAAAGCGUGNGGAGCAAACAGG
rnacentral:rRNA from 1 species